UUCUGUAACAGAAACUGAAAGCGUCCUGAUGUAUAAAAACAAGAACCUUUCCAGAAGUAAAACAUCUGCGGGACGCUGCAGCACUGGGUAGUUAGCAUACGUCACCAUUUGGCUAGGACACUCCAGCAUACAGAAAGAAAACCCUGUGUUUUUAAAGCAUAUCAUUGCACACAAAGUUUAUGAAAACAUUUGAAAAGACAAAAAAAUGCACAGAGAAUAUCCUGUCAUGUUUUUUCUCUUAAAUAAGUGAAAAAUGGCUCACCG